GGAUUGAUUUCAAAACCAACAAUGUAAAAGGUCAACCAGGCCUAUUGCAUUGCUAAGGAGUAACGAAAACUAUGAACACAACAAACAGGUAACCGGAGACUGUGAUAGCUGGUACGAAAAACGGGAAACAGAUUUUGUGCCUACAGUCAGUCACACAAGGUGAAUACGCCCACAUAAUCACACAUUUUGUCACCUUACACCUCAGCUUGAUCUGUACCCGCUCGCUGUUUGAGUGCUUUGGACUUUUCGUUUUUAUUUUUUUAAUUAAAAAAAAAGUCUGCGGUGACACGCCAUCUCCUCACAGUAUUAAGUGAAAUAGAACAAGAGUGACUUUCGUUGACACGAAACUUUUAAUUAUUCUGAAGUGAGUGCAGUUAAAACUCAUAACGUCACGUUGCGUUUGCAUCCUGCCACCGAACAGAGGGCUCAUUUCAUGGCUGCAAUUGGACUGAGAUAUUAAGCUGAAUUUCAAAGAGACUGUGAUACCUGGUGUAAUUUUACAGGACAGAAGCUGAAGCCCCAGCAGGCACCUAACUGCUCAAGAUGUGGAAAAACCUCCUGCUUUCUGCAGUUGGUCCUGGAAAAAUCGGCACCGUCGCGACAGUCAUCGGGAUAUUCAUUGCCACUGUUCUUCUGCAGACCGCGACGUGCGCUUGCAGAACUUUUGAAUGUAAUGAAAUCGUCGUCGUGCCUUUUUUUUUAGUAUUUUUCCUGGUGCUCCUGAUAGACCAGACAUUUCGGAGCACCGCGAAACAUCCAUCUACGUUUUUAUGCCUUGUACUCAAGCGCGUUAUCAGAGCGUUUCUAAUCAGCCUGCUGUGGAUUGUAGCAUUGUUGGUUUUAACGGACUGGUAUGGUUGUUGUAACAUUGAUGAAAACACGAGUAAGCUGUUCUGCAAAUCUGAGAACCUCACAACCGAACAAGAAGCUCGAAAAGCUGAAGUGGAAAUCAAGUCAAGGCUUUCUGCUUACUCUCUGCUCCUGGGCAUGACUGUUGUCGCUUUCUUCAUGACUUGGAGUGGGUGGAGAAAAUGGUUUGAAGAAAAAUACAGUUGGUGCAACAAGAAAACUUUUUACUACAAACUGAUUUUGGAAGAAGAGAAAAAAGUUCUGGAGGAGCUUUUGAGGAAAGAAGCAAAUGAGACUUUGACUAAAGAAAUCACGAGCAACAUAAAAAGGAAAGACUGGGACGGCUGUUUUAACGUUGCUCAACAAAUGAUCAGUAAUGCAAAACAUCAAAAACCAGAAGCAACCAACCAGCAGAUCAACUGGAUCAGUGAGGGGAGCUCCAGCAGAGGGGGACAGCAUCAUCAAGCAGCAGCACAUCAGCAGGCUCAAAACUAUGAACUUGAUGAAGUUGCACAAGAAAACACAGACACCAUGCCGUUAUUUAACGAAUCCGCCUGAAAGAACACAGUUGACACAGUGACGCAGCUCCAGAAACAACGCAAGCGACCACAGACAAGUUAUACACCUUGACAGAGUGGGCGCUCCUUGUCAUCACAGCUGAGAGGGGAUAAAAAGUCUUAAUGUUCAGCCUAAUGUGAUUAAAAAUAAUCAGAGUGCUAAAACAGAACUUUUCCCCUUUUCCCUAAAAUCUAAGUUUGAUCGACAUAUUAAUGAGAAAAGUUGUUUGAGUAGUAAAAAUGACUGUUCUAAUGUCAUUGUUGUGUGUGUGUGUGUGUGUGUGUGUGUGUGUGUGUGUGUGUGUGUGUGUGUGUGUGUGUGUGUUAGUGGCUAGAUCCACUGAUCUCAAUGAAUGCCCGACUUUUAAAUCGAUUUAAUAAAAAAGUUGUAUGAAAUAAACAGUGAAUAACAAACAGAGUUUUAAAAAGGAUGCAAUCCUCAGUAUUUGAAUUAAAAAGGGAUUAUGUUACAAUGAAUGUUCAUGUGAAAAUGUGCUAAAGACAAAUCUAAUUGAAAUAGAAUUACAUGAACUGAGGCUACGUCCACACGUACACGGGUAUUUUUGAAAACGGAGAUUUUCCAUUUUCGUUUUAAAAAAUAAUCCCGUCCACAUGUAAACGCAGAAAUGAAGGAAAACGCUGCUAAGAACAUGCCAAAGCAGCAGGUGGCGCUAGAUUCCUAACCGUGCAGAAAUGUUGGCCAAUCAGAAGUCUAGAAGCCUCGGUGGGAAAAAGUAAACAAAGCUGGGGCAUAGAAGCAGAACCGAGUCGUAUGUGUGGAGGGACAGUAACUGUGUGUAUAUGUAAGCAUUUAAACACUGCAGAGAGUAGAAUUAACAGUAACAGUAUUGUAGAAAUUCAUUUCACCGAAACAAUAACGUGGCGCACAGUGUGACGUCAAAAUAGGCGCACACCUUUGACGCUGCGUUUUCUCCGUUUUUCUCGUCCACACGUAAAUGCAAAAACGGAGUUUUCAAAAAUAUCCACCCUGGCCGGAGUUUUUAAAAAUCUUCGUUUUCAGUGACCAAAAACGCCGUUUACGUGUGGACUAAAGGUGCAAACGCAUAGAAAAAUCUGCGUUUUCAAAAAUACCCGGGUACGUGUGGACGUAGCCUUAGUGAAACAUGAAGUGAUGACCGAAUAUUUAUAUGUGAUGUGAAUUCUGUUAUGAAUGACAAAGGAAAAAUGAUGACCUGAUUUUAAAGUUUAAACUUGGUGUUAAAUCUUCUACGUCAGCUAGACAGAGAUACGAUGAUACAGUGUGGCUGGAAUGAUGGAUCUAAUGAAUGAUUAGAUGUUUGUAAUGUGACUGGAUGUCCCGAAGGGUGAAGCUGGAUUCCAUCUCUGAAGAUGUGACAUUCAGUGGCAGAGGGGGACGUAAGGGUCAGCAUUAGCAUUAGCUCAGAGUAGGUUAAUUAGAUAAGUGUAAUUCAGAUGUUUUCAUUCAUGUUUUAUGAUUUUUACUAUUUGAUUUUGCUUUUGUUUUGCUCUCACUAAAUUGCUUUAUUAAAAUUUCCUGCAGCUAAAACCUGUAAUUGUGGAUAUUCACUUUUAAAGUCUUUGUGAAAGAGUAAAACUCUUUAUCAGUGCAAAUUGCUCCAAUGCUUUACAUUACAACAUCUGAUCACCUUCCCUCAAGACUUGCUGUUCAGGCCUCUAAAGUCCCAUGACUGAUUGGGACAGUAUAGGAUUUGAUCUGCAAGGCUACUCAGGUGUGGUCAUCUUAUCAUCUUAACACGGGGGACACAUGGACAAUUUCUAGGUAGUUAGUGCUGGGCGAGUCCCCUCACCCGCAUUGGCUCCAGCUGACCUCUGCAUUAUCAACUGUCUAAGAUUCAUAGGAUGAGACAUUAGGGGUUUUAAUCACUGAAAUAUUUGCAAGUUAGCUGAGUGAUGCAAUCUGUCUUUAUAAUCUUUGUCAGACUGUGUUUGAUAAAUCUAAAGAAAUGUUUCUUACAUGCUUCAUAUUCUCUGGAGCCUAUUGACCAAUCAGCUUUCACAUGAACAUGCUUAAUGACAUAUAAAUAAAGAUAAAUAGAUAAAUAGAUUAAAAUAACAGACUAUGUAUAAUAUGCUAAACUGCUGAACAAAAUUCCCAACAUCCCCAUUCAUGAAUCAUUAUUGUUUAUUACAGUGAGUGAAAAGAAACAAUACGCUCAGCCUGAAAACAACCAAUGACAAAAGUACAGAAAGUCAUUUAUUAAUAUCAGUUCUUUGUUCCUUCCCUCAAAUACAACCCACAUGUGUGUACCCCUACAGGUGGCAGGAAACAACUUAGACUUACACUUAGAGACUUACAGCAUUGUGCAGUUUCUUGCACAGCGAAACUGGGAAACCAGAGUGAUACACCUGCUGCUGUCAGACCUGCAGGUAUCAGGCUGUGAUCUUCUCCUUUAUAGUGGACAGAAAUUUUGGGAGUGGCACAAAUAAUUUGUGUGGCAUCUUAUUGAAUGCAGAACAGCUGAUUGUUCUGUAAAUAGUUUGAAAUGGUUAUAAAAAAAAAGGGUAAAUGUCAUGGUCCUGAGUCUGACAGCUCAGUGUUUUGUGUUUCUUCAUAUUAUUCCUUGUUCUUGUUUAUUCUGUUAUGUCUUUGGGUUCGGUUUGCCAUUCGUUAGGGGCUUGUUUUGUGCCUGCCUGCUCCCACUUCUCUGUGUUCCCUCUGUCUGUCCAUGGUGUCACUGUGUCUGCUUGUGAGUCUGUCUGUUUAGUGCAGUGUCUUGUCUGGUUCUCUGUGUGAAUCUCCCUCCGUCAUCCCGUGAAUUCUGCCUGCAAGUUGCUUUCUCUCGUGUUUAGGUUUAAAUUUAAGUUGUGUUUUUUGCCACACUCCCCUUUUGUUUGUUAUCACUCGGGUUCUGUGUCAAUAAAGCUCUCUCACUUCACUGCAUAUCCGCAUCUUGGGUCCUUUGUUAAAUUCACAGUAAAAGGUAAAUGGAUGCAAAUAACUUUGUUGUUUGCAAAACUUGUGCAUAUGAUUUUAAAAUUUACAAUUUAUAUUUGCAUUUAAAGUUAUGAAAUAUGAUUCAGUAAACACGUUUGUGGUUGUUACAGUAAAAAAAAACUAUUUCUACUCGGAUUUAAUGUUUUUUGUCUGAUUUUAGACCAAUUGUGUUAAUACAGUAUGUCAAAUUGAAAACAUAAUUGUACUUUCAGACACGUGAGGUUGUGCUGAACAGAAUGAUACCAAACAAGGCAAAUAAACAGUUUUUAAAGGUGAAAUGUAGAGGAAACAUCAAAAGUAGUUUAAAAAAAUGGCCAAUUACAUCCUGGACCCCAGAGGGUUAAAUAUUUUUUUUGAAAGUAACGCAAUAGUUACUUUCAAGUAUUUAAUUUCUUUUAGAAUCUUGUAACUCAGUUACCUUUUUUGAAAAAGUAACUAGUAACUAUAAUAAUUACUUUUUCAAAAUAACUUGCUCAACACUGCUGUAGAUGUCCCUCCAAGACAUCUACAGGAAGCGGUGCCUGAGGAAAGCGGGGAGGAUCAUCAAGGACUCCAGUCACCCCAGCCAUAAACUGUUCAGACUGCUUCCAUCAGGAAGGAGGUUCUGCAGCAUCCGGUCCCGUACCAGCAGACUGAGAGACAGCUUCUUCCAUCAGGCCAUCAGACUGCUGAACACUUCAUAGACACCUCAGCUUCACUACUGGAACUUUAACAUUAUGCACUCCACACUGUAUAUAAAUGCCACUUGUUUUGCACAUAUUCAACUCUGUAUAUUUUAUAUAUUUUAUUUAUUUAUUUUUUUUUACUAUUUAAUUUGUAAAAAUGUGUAUACACACACACACACACACACACACACGUAGGACAAUAUUUAGUAUACACAUCCAGAAAUGCAUAUACUAUUAUAUAUUGUACAUAUAUUUAUUAGUUUCAGAUUAGCCAUUCUUGUAUUUUGCUCGUUUGUGUUGUUGUGUUUGCACAUCUCUGUUGCUUGUGGGGCUCGCACACAAGAAUUUCACUCGCAUGUGCUGUGUGCCUGCACAUGUGAGGUGACAAUAAAAGUGAUUUGAUUUGAUUUGAUUUGAUUUGAAGUCAGCGCUUUAAGAACAG
ensembl:lncRNA